AUUUAGGGUAUAGGAUUUAGUAUUUUGCUAAAGGUUUAACAAUAUUUAUUUAUUUUUAUUUUGUAACUAUUUUUAUGUAUUUUUAUUGUUUUGUUUGAAAAAUAUAAUCUUAUUUGGAAAUUCAAUUUUGUUUCCUUUUUUAAAAGAUAUCAAAUAUCAAAUACUCAAACACUAUUGGUUGGUGAAUCUAGAGGUUCACCCUAGGGGGUGAACCCAAGAAUUUCUCUUAAUUCACUUAGUUUAGCAUUUAUUGGCAUUACUUUGAUGUAUUCAGCAAUUACGGGUUGAAGAAUUUU
rnacentral:lncRNA from 1 species